GCAGAGCGUCGAGCCCCAUGAUGCGAAGGGCGGGCGAUACCGGCCGGGAUAGGCAGUCACGUGACGCGCUAGGCACCUAGUCCCCGGGACUGAGAUCGCCUUUCUCUGCGGGGGAGAGAGGUUCUCAGGAAAGGAGUUAAAGGGGCAAAAAAAGAGUUCCAAGAGGAUACAUGUGCUGUCUUAUUUUGACGACACUGGGCUCCAGUUCAGCAAAGCAUUUAAGCACAUGGAAUCAAUGAGGCCUCUCCAUACUAUUGGCAGCUGCCUGACGAUCCCCUCACAGCCUUAGCCAAGUACUGAGGUCAUGGCUGCCAUCUUUCAGAUCGAGAAAGAAAUGGAUAUCAUUCCCUUUGGAGGGACCUCUUCAAAAUGAAGUUAGGGCACUCACCGUCACGGUCCUCCAAGAGCUCCCCACAGCACCUCUGCAGCACUCCCCAUCACCGAAGCACAAUCAAAUCGGGUUCUCCCUCACAGCAGCGCCUCUGUGUUAUGAUGUGAUGUUUAGUCAUAAACAUUAGAGAUGGAUCCAGGCUACAACUCUGUACUGGGUGAAGAAGACGAUUGGAAGCCAAACCCCUAUCUGGAGCCACAUUUUGCGACUGGCACCUCUUUUUAGAAAAGAUGGAGCCAAAACACGAUCAAAAAAAUCCUCACACUUUUUAGGGGUUCAAGAUCAGAGCCCAAGUGUGGUGGCUUUGUCCCAUAUUAAAGAUAUAGCUUUACAACCUUUGAUUUUGUCAGUUUUAUGUAUUUCCCCCACCACCCCCACCCCAGAGCAGGGGUAUGUGGGUGGCAAUGAAUACUUUAUUUCUGAUUCAAACAGAACAGUCUGAAGGCUUAGUGGACACAUACUCUGUACCCAGCAGCAUGUCUUGGGGUUUAGCAUUAGAAGGAAAUCAAGACCUCAGCCCCACCUCCUGAGCUUAAUCUUUUAAAGACUGAUCCCAUGCUCACAGCUGGAGUUUAUGUGAGUCCUGCCUUAUUAAUUAAGUGUAGCCAUCUUUCCCCCCUCCCUCCACCCCAAAUUCCAACAGCAGCAAUUAGAAAGCAGAUACUUCACACAACACCUGUUUCAUUUAUACCCCGCCAGCCAAUUCAUGUCUCCUUUCCCCAUCUUUUCAUUUGACAGAGACAAAGUGGCAAAAUCAAGGGAAGGAGGUGGCAAAAACAGC